rnacentral:rRNA from 1 species
GUAGGUGACCUGCGGAAGGACAUUG